UGGGGAAUAUUGCACAAUGGGCGCAAGCCUGAUGCAGCCAUGCCGCGUGUAUGAAGAAGGCCUUCGGGUUGUAAAGUACUUUCAGCGAGGAGGAAGGCGUUGUGGUUAAUAACCGCAACGAUUGACGUUACUCGCAGAAGAAGCACCGGCUAACUCCGUGCCAGCAGCCGCGGUAAUACGGAGGGUGCAAGCGUUAAUCGGAAUUACUGGGCGUAAAGCGCACGCAGGCGGUGUGUCAAGUCGGAUGUGAAAUCCCCGGGCUCAACCUGGGAACUGCAUCCGAAACUGGCAGGCUAGAGUCUUGUAGAGGGGGGUAGAAUUCCAGGUGUAGCGGUGAAAUGCGUAGAGAUCUGGAGGAAUACCGGUGGCGAAGGCGGCCCCCUGGACAAAGA
rnacentral:rRNA from 1 species